CCGGCUUCUCUUCCACCCAGCUCCUCCUCCCCGUGCCUUCCUUCCUCCCGUCUCGUUCUCCGCUCGUCGACUUCCAUGUCCAAUCGAGGCGCUCGGAGGUAGUACCGGGGCAAGUACCACUGGUGCGACGUCCAGGCCAGCCCACACCGUCCGGGGGUUCCGUGCUCGGCUAGAUCUGACGAUCUAGCUGCCGGAUCCACCGCGGCAGCAACGCCGGCUGCUACCUCCUCUCCGACCCCGACCACCACACCACCCCAACUCCAGCGCGCGACCCUCUACUCUAUCCAUCAUUUCCGUCCACGGCCAGAACCAGCAAUCUUGCUGCCGGAUCGGUGGCGGCGGUUCCUCAUGGUGGCGUCCCCUGUCAUCUCGCUUCAGCCUCCUCCCGACGACGCGCCGGGGGGCUGGGUCCAGGGCCGGCCCUUGGCCAUGGCAAUGAGUGCAGCCGCCUAUGGCCCAGGUCAAGCGGGGGCCAUGCUGCUCUACUUUAUGGAUACACGUAUGAGUAGAAGAAAAGGUAAACUGAUGAAAUAGUAGUGGUAGGCUCAACCUAUUACGGAGUGAGGAACCAGUCACGCACGAAAGUGAGAACAGCUGAACAGCCAGCCUAAUUGUUAGGUACUCUAUUAAAAAAAAAGUUAUCUCCGAGAUAGCACUGAUGUCUCUCGUUCAUCACCCAGUCUUCUCGUCUCCUUUCUUUGCUAAUUAUUUGAAUCAAUUUCCCAAGAGGCUGGGCGCCCAAACCGAUGCUAAUUGAAUAAAAAAUUUCUCUGUAUCACUACCUUAACCUCUUCAUUAUCCAAGCAGGACCCCAGCCUUUUGUCCUUCCAUCUUAAAAGUAUCCUAAGGAGACUGAUGAAGCAGCACAUUCGGUGAUUGGCCAGUGAGGCGUUGACAGCAGCCCACGUCCACAGGUUAGUUGUUUCUCUUCUGGAUUGCCCAUCUUUCCUUGUUGAUUGCGAAUUUUGUGAAAGAUUUCUUUGCAUGAAAUUGUUGCACAAGUUGUUGCCUCGUAUUAAUGGUGAUCGAGUAUCAUCAAAUCCGCACAUGAUGAUUAGAUACUGCUUUGUUAUUAUGUUGUGGGAUUUCUCUGUAGCUACUUGCAUAGAAGGCGUCUGUGCUUUUGUCCAAAACUGCUAUCUGUAGGCACAUCGUAAAAUAUGCGUGCGGCGGUGCUUGCAUCGACCUCACGCCUAUCUUCCCCAUCCAUGGCGCACGAAUCCUCAAGGAGGACAACACCGACACCACGUGUGGUUACCGCAGCCACGGCGACGAUGUCCAGUUCUACUUCGUCUCUGGCUCCGCUGCUCAGGAUUAUUUGCUGCAUUUACGAGAGCGAGAAUGGCAUCAUCGACUUCUACCUCCUCCAUCUCAAGGACAAAUCUCAUGCAACCCAUGGUGCUGCAUUUGACGCGAUCAUUUGUAAUUUGGUAGUGACUAUUAUCCGUGUAAUGUACAAGCUUUGGAUUAUUUUUUGUUGUAAAUGAUGGCAAUGUGGUUUUAGUGAUGUACUCCCUCCAUUCCGAAUUACUUGUCGCAGGUAUGGAUGUAUCUAGAUGUAUUUUAGUUCGAGAUACAUCCAUUUCUGCGACAAGUAAUUUGGAACGGAGGGAGUACCUUUGAUGGUUGUUGUAAUUGAAUGAAACAAUUUAAUGGAAAUUUGUGCGC